rnacentral:rRNA from 1 species
UAGCGUAUAUUUAAGUUGUUGCAGUUAAAAAGCUCGUAGUUGGAUUUCGGUUGAGAACGGCCGGUCCGCCGUUUGGUGUGCACUGGCUGGUUUCAACUUCCUGUAGAGGACGCGCUCUGGCUUCACGGCUGGACACGGAGUCUACGUGGUUACUUUGAAAAAAUUAGAGUGUUCAAAGCGGGCUUACGCUUGAAUAUUUCAGCAUGGAAUAACACUAUAGGACUCCUGUCCUAUUUCGUUGGUCUCGGGACGGGAGUAAUGAUUAAGAGGAACAGUUGGGGGCAUUCGUAUUUCAUUGUCAGAGGUGAAAUUCUUGGAUUUAUGAAAGACGAACUUCUGCGAAAGCAUUUGCCAAGGAUGUUUUCAUUAAUCAAGAACGAAAGUUGGGGGCUCGAAGAUGAUUAGAUACCAUCCUAGUCUCAACCAUAAACGAUGCCGACUAGGGAUUGGCGGAUGUUAAUUGAUGACUCCGCCAGCACCUUAUGAGAAAUCAAAGUUUUUGGGUUCCGGGGGGAGUAUGGUCGCAAGGCUGAAACUUAAAGGAAUUGA